rnacentral:rRNA from 1 species
UACGAAGGGGGCUAGCGUUGCUCGGAAUCACUGGGCGUAAAGCGCACGUAGGCGGCUUACUAAGUCAGGGGUGAAAUCCUGGAGCUCAACUCCAGAACUGCCUUUGAUACUGGUAAGCUCGAGUCCGGGAGAGGUGAGUGGAACUGCGAGUGUAGAGGUGAAAUUCGUAGAUAUUCGCAAGAACACCAGUGGCGAAGGCGGCUCACUGGCCCGGUACUGACGCUGAGGUGCGAAAGCGUGGGGAGCAAACAGG